UCUAUUAAAGUAUGAACGUAAAAAUUUGAUUUUUAAAAAGGUGAGGAAACACCUAAUAGAU
rnacentral:tRNA from 1 species